CCUGCCCAAUGAUUAAUUUAAUGGCCGCGGUAUUUUGACCGUGCAAAGGUAGCAUAAUCAUUAGUCUAUUAAUUGUUGACUUGUAUGAAUGGUUGGACGAGAUAUUGACUGUCUCAUUUUGUUUUUUAUAAUUUGAAUUUUGAGUUAAAAUGCUUAGAUUUUUUUAAAGGACGAGAAGACCCUGUAGAUCUUUAUUAAUUAAUUUAUUAAUUUGUUUAGUUUAUUAUUUGUUGGUAGUUUUAUUAGUUUUGUUGGGGUGACAUAGGGAAAUAGUUAACUCUUUAUUAUUUUUUGCAUUGAUUUUUGUUUUAUUUGACCUUUUAUUAUUGUUAUAAGAUGUAGAUACCUCAGGGAUAACAGCGUAAUUCUUAUUGAGAGUUCCUAUCGACAUAGGAGAUUGCGACCUCGAUGUUGGAUUAAGAUUAUUAUUAGGUGUAGGUGCUUAAUUAUUAGGUCUGUUCGACCUUUAAAUUCUUACAUGAUCUGAGUUA
rnacentral:rRNA from 1 species